rnacentral:rRNA from 1 species
CCUACACCAUUCUACCCGCCAGAGUACUACAAGCGCUAGCUUUAAACCCAAAGGACUUGGCGGUGCCUCAGACCCACCUAGAGGAGCCUGUUCUAUAACCGAUAAUCCCCGUUAAACCUCACCACUUGUUGCCAACAACCGCCUAUAUACCGCCGUCGUCAGCUCACCCCAUGAGGGAAUAAAAGUAAGCAAAAUGAACUCACCUUCAAUACGUCAGGUCGAGGUGUAGCGAAUAAAGUGGAAAGAAAUGGGCUACAUUUUCUAUUAAGAAAAAACGGAUAUUAUAAUGAAAAACUACUUAAAGGUGGAUUUAGCAGUAAGAAAACCUUAGAAUGUUAUUCUGAAAUUGGCUCUGAGGUGCGCACACACCGCCCGUCACUCUCCUCAACACAAAACUUCUUUAUAUAAAUAAAUACAUCACAAAAGAGGAGGCAAGUCGUAACAUGGUAAGUGUACUGGAAAGUGCACUUGGAAUAACC